GCGUGAAGAAGGAGCUACCCUAGGGCGCGCGGCCUCGCCUGUGGCGUGGGAGUUGCUUCCGGGUUGCGCGCCCGGAAGCAGGAAGUUGUCGGCUUACCCUCCUCGCCCGGCGGCUGCUGUCCCCGAGGCGGGAGGAGCCCGAGAGGGCGCGGGCCCCGCAUGUAUAAGCCACUGUUAGAAGUCAAGCUCACUCUUUGGAACUUCCCUCUGUGGCAAAGCUCAUUCCUGCCAGAGUUGGAUCUUCUUUCUUUCUGGAGGGAUUUUGUAUUGGAAGACAUGGAUCUAGCUGCCAAUGAGCUCAGCAUUUAUGACAAACUUUCAGAGACUGUUGAUUUGGUGAGACAAACAGGCCAUCAGUGUGGCAUGUCAGAGAAGGCAAUUGAAAAAUUUAUCCGACAGCUGCUGGAAAAGAAUGAACCUCAGAGGGGGCCACCCCAGUACCCUCUCCUGAUAGCUAUGUAUAAGGUCCUUGUAACCCUGGGAUUAAUCUUGCUCACUGCCUACUUUGUGAUUCAACCUUUCAGCCCAUUACCACCUGAACCGGUGCUUUCUGGAGCUCACACCUGGCGCUCACUCAUCCAUCACAUCCGGCUGAUGUCCUUGCCCAUUACCAAGAAGUAUAUGCCAGAAAAUAAGGGAGUUCCUCUGCAUGGGGGUGAUGAAGACAGACCCUUUCCAGACUUUGACCCUUGGUGGACAAACAACUGUGAGCAGAAUGAGUCAGACCCCAUCCCUGCCAACUGCACUGGCUGUGCCCAGAAAUUACCCCUCAAGGUAAUGCUCCUGGAAGAUACCCCGAAGAAAUUUGAGAGACUGCAUCCUCUGGUGAUCAAGACGGGACAGCUCUUGUUGUCAGAGGAGCUUCAGCGUUUCCUGUGCCAGUACCCUGAGGUAACGGAAGGUUUCAGCGAAGCGUUUUUCAACAAGUGGUGGCGCUGCUUUCCCGAACGGUGGUUCCCAUUUCCUUAUCCGUGGAGAAGACCUCUAAACAGAGCACACAUUUUACGUGAGCUUUUUCCUGUUUUCACCUACCUGCCAUUUCCAAAAGAUGCCUCUUUAAAAAAGUGCUUCCUUCUUCAACCGGAACCUAUUGUGGGUAGUAAGAUGCAUAGGAUGCAUGACCUGUUUAUUGUUGGCAGCGGUGAGGCUGUGUUGCAGCUCAUCCCCCCCGCCCAGUGCCAAAGACACUGCCAGUCGCUGGCGACACCGCUAGAGCCAGGGGACAUUGGCUAUGCCAGCGCCGCCCACUGGAAGGUCUACGUGAUAGCCAGAGGGGUCCAGCCUUUGGUCGUCUGUGAUGGAACCACCCUCUCAGAACUAUAGGAAACAAGAACUGUACAGAGGAACAACUUAGAGAGCUGAAGACCAGACUGAAAGGGGAGAAAUAAAAACAAUGAACCGCUUCCCAAGGCUACCUAGUCACCUGCCCUCUGCAUGCAUGUAUGAGCCAGCCGUAUGCUGGAGGCCGUGGCCACAGCCUGGCCCUCCCAGCUCUUCCAGCCUAUAGCUGCUUGGCCAGGACUUUGCCAGUACCUGCCUGUGAGAGACUGGGCUCUUCCAUCUUCCACACCUUUUGGAACCGCAGCCUCAAGGCUGCCCCUCAGGCAGGAAACGGGAUUGGUGCCUUCCCUUUCUCGCACAGUCUGAUCCCCUCUGCCGGCUCCCUGGCCACAGAGAGGGCAGCCCGCAAGUCCUGACGUCAGAGCCAUCCCUUACCAGCUGGCUGCACAUUGUCCAGAUGCCAUCACGGUGUCACCUCCCCUGUGGAUGUCCUCGGUUCUCCUGGGAGGUCAGCCAGGCCCCUUACUGGCCCACGGGAGCUAGCUGCCACUGAUCAGGGCCACACUCGGCACUCAGUUAACCCAGUGCAGGUUUGAGUUAAGUCAUUUUGCUGUGUUCAUAUUUUUUUGGUAAUUUCUUUUUUAUCUACACACAAGUUUUAUAUAAAUGUAUAAAUAGAACUAUUUCUUGGUGCGCCUGGGUGGCGCAGUCAGUUGAGUGUCCGAGUCUUGGUUUCGGCUCAGGUCUGAUCUCCGGGUCGUGGGAUUGAGUUUCACAUCAGACUCCACGCUCAGUACAGAGUCUACUUGAAAUCCUCUCUCCCUCUGCCCCUCCCACUCAUGCUCGCUCUGUCUCUUUCUCUCUAAAAUAAAUAAAUCUUAAAAAAAAAAACAACCUUAUUUCUUACAUGCUGCUUAGUGUCCUGUCUUACUUUCCUGCGUUUCUUUUUGCAGACUUUUCCCUCUUCCACAUUGCUUACUCCCUUCCUGUGUGUCUUUCCACGGUCUCCUCCAUGCUCUCUAAUCAUAAUCAUAAAUCAAGAUUUUUGUCAUUGCUUUAUCAAAAAUGCUGUCAUAUUACAGGCACUCAUUUGUUGCUUUGCUUACUCAGUAUGUCCCAGAGUUCUCUUCAAGUCAGCUGGCGUAGCUCUAAUCCUUUUUAAUGGCUGAUAUUCCAUGGUGUGGAUAUGCCAUUUAUUUCACUGUUCUCUUAUUGAGGCUAAGUCACAUCCUGCUCAAUGAUUAUUGGAUUAUUAGUCAAGAAGUUUGGAGUUAGUUUUAAAAAUACUUGUUUUGGGACACCUGGGUGGCUCAGUCAGUUAAGCGUCUGCCUUCUGCUCAGGUCAUGAUCCCAGGGUCAUGGGAUCAAGUCCCACGUCGGGCUCCCUGCUCAGUGGGGAGUCUGCUUCUCCCUCUGCCUGUCCCUCCCCCUGCUUGUGUUCGUUCUCUCUCUCUCUCUGAAAAAUCUUAUAAAUAAAAAUAAAAAUACUUGUUUUUACAAAAUGUAUAUUCAUCCUUCUUUGCUCCAGCUAAUAUAUGUUCUUCAAAAAUUCAAAAAUCAUCCCAUCCCAUGGUGCUAUUCACUUACCUUUUUGAAAGGUGGACUUCAACAAGAAAAAAGGGAGGAGGGCUUGAUUCCAUGUGAAAAGGUGGCAAAAUCACUACUUUUCAGUCCCCUUCUCUCUCUGUAGCACUUGGCUUCUGUGAGACUCACUAUUCCCUUCCUGAAACUCCUCUUUUCCACUUCUGUCUCCUUUGUAGUAUUUUCUUCUGCCUGUCUCCAAAACAUUGGUCUCCCCUACCCGUCCUGCCUUGGGCUCUCUUCUUUUCUCUCUCCCUGGGAGAAACACUCUCCCUGCAAGAUCUCAGUCCUGUGUUGUCCUCUCCACCCGGGGCCAAGUCACCUCCAACCUAUGCACACAGCCCACACUUCUCGCCUGAGCCCUAGUUUGUACACCCGAGUGUCACGAGCUCAUUCCACCCGUUCUCUCCAGAAGCACCUCUAGUUCCUGCCAUGACUGUGGCAGCCUCGGAGGGCUCUUGUCUUUUCUCUCAGCCUCUGCUGAUCAGGACCAAACUCUGGAGAGUUCUGUCUCCUUGUUGCAUAUCCAGCCCCACCGCCACUGUCUCAGGUUAGAACCUCACAGUUCCACUCCUAUCUCGACUCCGCCAGUAGUUGCUUGUUUCCCAAGCACACCCCACCCUCUCCAUUCCCCAUCCACAGAGCUGCUACAGUGCCCUUGUUAAGGCAUGUGCCCCCUUCCUUGCUCAGCACUCCUCAGUGACUCCAUUACCCACAGGACACGUGCUGGUCAUCCCCUCCAGCCUCGUUCCACUCCUCCUUCACUGUGCCUCACUUCUACUGAACCAUCUCUAAUUCCUAGAAACAUCUAGGCUGGUUUUUCUUCUUUUUAACCACAAAACUUUAUUUUUUUAGAGCACUUUUAGGUUCACAGCAAAAUUGAGCAGAAAGAGUUCCUAUACACCUUCUGUCUGGCCCCGUACCCCCACCCCACCAACACAACCUCCCCCACUACCGGCCAGAGUGGUACAUUUGUUAGAAUCGAUGAACCUACGUUGAUACAUCUUUGUCACCCAAAGUCCAUAGUUUACAUUAGGGUUCUCUUGGUGUUAUACAUUCUAUGGGUUUGGACAAAUGGAUAAUUACAUUCAUCCAUCACUACAGUAUCACACAGAAUAGUUUCAUUGCCAGAGGAUUUCAAAAUCCUCUAGGCUCUGCCUAUUCAUGCUCCCUCCCUGCUAACCCUUGGCAACCACUGGUUUUUUGCUGUCUCCAUAGUUCUUCCUUCUCCAGGAUGUCAGAUAGUUGGAUUUAUACGGUACGUAGCCUUUCCAAAUUGGUUUCUUUCACUUAGUAAUAUGCAUUUAAGGUUCCUCCAUGUCUUUUCAUGACUUGAUAGCUCACUUCUUUUUAGUGCUGAACGAUUCUCCAUUGUCUGGAUAUACCACAGUUUAUUUAUCCAUUCACCUACUGAAGGACAUCUCAGUUGCUUCGGAGAUUUGGCAAUUAUGAAUAAAGCUGCUGUAAACAUCUGUGUGCAUCUUUUCACAUGGACAUAGUUUUCAAUUCUGUUGGCUAAAUACCCAAAGAAGCAUGACUGAUGGAUCAUAUGGUAAGAGUAAUGUUUAGUUUUAUAGGAAACUGCCAAAUUUUCCAAAAUGGCUGUACCAUUUUGUAUUCCCACCAGUAAUGAAUGAGAGUUCCUGUUACACCAUACCCUCACCAGCCUUCGGUAUUGUCAGUGUUCUAGAUUUGGGCCUUUCUAAUAGUUGUAUAGUGAAAUCUCAUUGUUGCCUUAAUUUACGAUUCCCUGUGACAUGAUGUUGAACAUUGUUUCGUAUGUUUACUUGCCGUCUGUGUAGCUUCUUCGCUGAGGUGCCAUUCAGGUCUUUGGCCCACCUUGUAAUCAGGUUGUUAGUUUUCUUAUUGUUGAGUUUUAAAGAGUUCUUUGUGUAUUUUGGAUAACAGCCAUUCGUUCAUUCAUUCAUUCAUGUAGGCUCUAUGCCCAGAGUGGAGCCCAAUGCAGGGCUUGAACUCAUGACCCUGAGAUCAAGACCCGAGCUGAUAUCAAGAGUCAGAUGUUUAACCAACUGAGCCACCCAGGCACCCCCAGAUGUAUCUUUUAGAAACAGUUUCUCCCACUCAGUGGUUUGUCUGCAUUCUCUUGACAUUGCCUCUCGGUACUACAGAAGUUUUACAUUUUAGUAAAGUCCCGCUUCUCAGUUGUGUCUUUCAUGGAUCAUACCUCUAGCAUUGUACACAGAGUCCUCACCAUACCCUAGGUCAUCUAGAUUUUCUUAUAUGUUAUCUUGUAGGAGAUGUAUAGUUCUGUGUUUUACAUUUAGGUAGGAUCUGAUUUUUAUGAAGGGUGUAAGGUCUGUGUCUAGAUUCCUUUUUUUUUGCAUGUGGAUGUCCAGUUAUUUCAACACCAUUUUUUGAGAAAAUCGUCCUCACUUUCUUGUAUUGUCUUUGCUCCUUUGUCGAAGACCGGCUGCCUGUAUUCAUAUGGGUCUAUUUCUCGCUUCUCUAUUGAUUCUGUUGGUCGUUUGUCUUAGUCUUUUGCCAAUACCGCACUGUUUUGAUUACUGAAGCUUUAUACUGAGUCUUGAAGUUGGAUGAUAUCAGUUUUCGACUUUGUUCUUCUCCUUCAAUACUGUGUUGGUGAUUCUGGAUCCUUUGCCUCUCCAUAUAAACUUCAGAAUCAGGGGCACCUGGCGGGCUCAGUCGGCAAAGCAUGCAACUCUUGGUCUUGGGGUUGCGGGUUCGAGCCCCACGCUGGGUGUAGAGAUUACUUUUAAAAAAGUCUUAACAAAAGAAAACUUUAGAAUCAAUUUGCCUAUAUCCACAAAAUAACUUGCUGAAAUUCUGGUUGGGGUUGUGUGGAAUCUGUAGAUCAAGUUGCAUCCAGGUUGCUGUUAGUUCGAAGUUGUAAGUCCUAUCCCAUGAUACUAUUUGUGAACUUCGGUAUGUCCUUUCUUUUGCUCAGUUUGAAGUCCAGCUUAUUAGUGCACAUUCCUCCAACAUGACACAUGUCCUUUAGGCUUUCUUAUUAAGUCCAACUGACAAGCCUCCAGACACCAUGUUGAAGACAUAUUUCACACUUAUUUUUUCCAGAACAAUGACUUUAUUAUUUUUGUCAAAGUGAUACAUUCUUCUUAUAAAGAAUUGAAGAUAAUUCAUGUGAUCUUAUGAAAAUCUCCACCCAGGGAUAAUUAAUAACAUUAGAUGAACAGUAUAUGAGGCAUCCCUAGGAUGCUUCUAGCUAGGUGAGAUAGAAAUGCUUUUAUUAAAAUGGAACUAAUCAUGCUAUUUAAAGAAUAAAAGAAAGCAAUUUUAUGUGAAUCUAACAGAAGAAACAAGAAACCGAAGUAGGCAUUUCUUCCCCACAGAAAAAAUGUCAGUUCCUAAAAGAUCUCUCUGAGGUUAAGAUUAUGAGAAACCUCAAGAAACUAGAAUGAUUCUUAAUAAGGUUUUCUAACGUCAGGCCCCACACUCAGCAGGAAGUCUGCUUGAGGAUUCUCUCCCUCUCCCUCUCACCCUCCCCCUGCUCACAUGUGUACUCUGUUUCUCUCUAAAAAUAAAUAAGUAAAAUCUUUAAAAAUAAGUUUCUCUUUUUCGAUGGCAUGGUUCAAGGCUCUGAAGAUGAGCAAAUCGCUUGCUCUUUCUCUCACCUUAUCUCUUCCUCUGCUUCUCAAUUUGUGUUAAUCUGUAUGUAUAUUGAUAUUCUCAAAACCCAUGCAUUGCCUUCUGCUGUGAAACCAUAAUUCUCAAAGUUACGUAGCCCUCAUCUUAUAGUUAAGCUGAUUUGUGACUCACUCGUAAUACUUUCACCACCACUUUUCACCCCUGAAUUGUUUUCAGACUCUUACUUGGCUGAAUUUCAUCAAAGUUCCUCAAGCAUGGCUCAUGAACGCUGUUACCUUCUGUGUUUGAGAAUGUUUCUGCGGUUUUUAUACUUGAAUGCAACUUGGCUGAGUAAAACAUUCUUGCAUCACACUUCCUUUUGCUCAGAACUUUGGGUACAUCACAUUGUCAUGUGGCAGCAUUGACUGUUGGUAGGGACAAGACGGGCCAGCCUCAGAGUCCCCCUUAAAAUGAAGGCGAUUUUCUUCUGCCUUUUUUUUUUUUUGGUCUGCCUGAAGAAUUCCAUCUUUCUGGUUCUUUAUCAGUUUUUCCUGGACUAAAGUGUGCUCUUUUGAGUUGCAUUUCCAUUCUUUUGUGGAAAAAUGCCUUAUAUUUUCUUUCUUUUUUUUCUUCCAUUUUUAUUGAGAAAUAAUUGACCCAAGUCACUGUAUAAAUUUAAGGUGUCCAGCAUGAUGGUUUGAUUUACAGAUAUUGUGAAAUGAUUACUACAGUAGGUUUAGUUCACAUCUGUCAUCUCGUAUAGAUACAAUAAAAAGGAAAAAAAAUUUCUCCUUGUGAUGAGAACUCUUCAGGUCUAGUCUCUACACAGCUUAUAUGUUCUUUAUGAAUACUUUUUCUUUUCCAUUUGUGGGGUUUUCUGUUUCAGAUGCUGUGUUUAUUCCUUUGUUUCAUGACCUUGAUCUUUUACAACUAUGGUGUUCUCUCUGUUUAAUACUUACCUUUUUUCUCAUUUCCCAUAAUUCUCUCAAGCCUCCCCUCUAGAUCAAUUUAUUUUUUCAGCCAUAUCCACUUGUUAUUUCUGAUGCAUUAGUUUUAUGAAAGUGCUCUCAGUUUGUUCUCUUACCUCAUUCUGUCAUUUCAUCUUUGCUUACUUUCUUGAAAUCAUGUUGUUAUUUAAUUUUUCUAUAGUUCAGCAUGCUUUAGGGAAUUUUUUUCUGUUCUUUAGAUGACGUUUUCUUCUAGACUUGGUUUUCAUCAGUUAUAUAUGCGUGUUCCUCUCUUUCAUUUUUUUCCCAUAUAUUUGUAUAGCUACCAUACCAUUUUUCUCAAUGUCUUGUGCGUAAUGUGGCUGCUCGGGCCAGGUCUUUUGUUUGUACCCUCUGGGUAUAUUCUCAAUUCCAACAGCAUCUGUGCCCACCACUAAAAUUUAACAAAUGUUAACAUUUUUAUCAUAUUAACCAAGUAUUGAUUUACACAACCAUUUAGUACUCGCUACAAAAGCCCCAUUUUUGCUCUUUCAUAACUGAGGACUCUCCUCACCAGGUAGAGCUGAGACUCUCUCUCCUUCCCUUCCUGACCUCAAGUUUUCUUCACUCUGUUCUAAUCAGGAACUCAUAUUUUCUUAUCUACCAUAUUCCAUUUUCUCUUGUUUAAAAAGAAAAAAAAGAAUCUUGGGGCACCUGGGUGGCUCAGUUCAUUAAGCAACUGCCUUCGGCUCAGGUCAUGAUCCCAGGGUCCUGGGAUGGAGCCCACAUUGGGCUCCCUGCUCAGCAGCGGUCUGCCUCCCCCUCUCCCUCUGCCCCUCACCUGUGUGCACUCUCUCACUGUCUCAAAUAAAUAAAUAAAAUUUUUAAAAAUCUUAUUUUCCACCACCCCCCCAAGGGAAAGUAUUGAAACUAUGCUAACAAAAAUCUAGUAAAUAUAAGAAAAUACAGCAGGCAUACUUAAGUUCCCGUGUGAUGUGUCUCCAAAAGAGAAGUGUGAGCCCAUGAACAAGCAUUCCUGUUUAUAUGCGUCAGUCUCUUGGCAGUGCCCAGGGAAGCACCCAUUUCAGGGCCUCCAGUGCAGUGACGCUGGGAGCUGAGGGCCAGGGCAACGCUGUGGUUGGUCCUCCCACCUCCAGUUUCCUUUUUAGGCCUCCAGGAAGCCAGCUAUGACUGCCCCUCACUCCUGGCGAACGCUGGCCUUACCCACACACGUUGCCAUUGCACAGCUGCGUCCACACUAAGCUGCGAGGGACGUGUGGACAGCUGGGAACGGAGUGGAUGGGAAUCACCUGCAAAAACCAGGCUGUGAGCUCCCUGAGGGCAGGCUCUUCAUGAGCAUUUCCUCACGGAUGCUGCAGAGUGAGAACCUCUCCCAGAGAAGGUGAGACCUGAGCAAGGCUCUCCCAGGUAUUAAUGGACUUCAGUAUGUGAAGGAGGGGCAGGAAGAUGGACAUUUCCAGCAGGAGAAGAUGGGAGCCUGACAUGGAAAAUGAAGGCACAGGGGCGCCUAGGUGGCUCAGUUGUUAAGCGUCUGCCUUCGGCUCAGGUCAUGGUCCCAGGGUCCUGGGAUAGAGCCCCACAUUGGGCUCCCUGCUCCGUGGGAAGCCUGCUUCUCCCUCUCCCACUCCCCCUGCUUGUGUUCCCUCUCUCGCUGUAUCUCUCUCUGUCAAAUAAAUAAAAUCUUAAAAAAAAAAAAAGAAAAUGAAGGCACAGAGGUGGGAACACCACGAUGUGUGCAGGGGAUUGGAACGAGGUUGGCAAACACAGGGCGUCAUAGGGUAGGCCAGGUCGUGGUGGCCUGGGUCCAAGCAGAGGAGUUGAGCUCAGAUGCGACAGGCGGUAGGAGCCAUUGGGUUCCUGAGAAGGAAAGACACAUGUGAAGGGGGUGUUUGAGAAUCAUCAGCCUUUGAUUUACUUUCGGCUUUGAUUUUUACUUUGAUUUACAAUUGGCUAUUUAAACUUCAAUUAAUCAAGGGGCGCCUGGGUGGCUCAGAUGGUUAAGUGUCUGCCUUCGGCUCAGGUCAUGAUCCUGGGGUCCUGGGAUCACGCCCCACAUCGGGCUCCUGGCUCAGCGAGGAGCCUGCUUCUCCCUCUCCCUCUGCCUCUCUCCCUGCUCAUGCUUUCUCUCUCUCUCUCUCUCUCUCUAUCUCUGUGUCUCAAAUGAAUAAAUAAAAUCUUUAAAAAAAAAUUAAACUUCAAUUAAUUAAAAUAAAACAUGAAGUUCUUUAAUCACACUGGGUACAUUUCAAGUGCUUGAUAACCAUACGCUCUUAGUGGCCACCAUUUUGAACAGUGCAGAUAAUGAACAGGUCCACAGAGUUCCUUCAGACAGUGCUAAUGUUUUAAAACAUACAAACUAGUUUUACACGUUGUGUGGAUACGGAGUGCUUAGUAAAAGUACAAUGGAAAUCAUGCAAAUAUCAAACAACACAUUCAGACCAAGGUUACAUCUAGAAAGGUGAGAAUGCUUGGCGUCCAGAGAAGGGAUGCUGGGGGCCUCCAUGUU